rnacentral:rRNA from 1 species
GAUGAACGCUGGCGGCGUGCCUAAUACAUGCAAGUCGAGCGAACAGACGAGGAGCUUGCUCCUCUGACGUUAGCGGCGGACGGGUGAGUAACACGUGGAUAACCUACCUAUAAGACUGGGAUAACUUCGGGAAACCGGAGCUAAUACCGGAUAAUAUAUUGAACCGCAUGGUUCAAUAGUGAAAGACGGUUUUGCUGUCACUUAUAGAUGGAUCCGCGCCGCAUUAGCUAGUUGGUAAGGUAACGGCUUACCAAGGCAACGAUGCGUAGCCGACCUGAGAGGGUGAUCGGCCACACUGGAGCUGAGACACGGUCCAGACUCCUACGGGAGGCAGCAGUAGGGAAUCUUCCGCGAGGGGCGAAAGCCUGACGGAGCAACGCCGCGUGAGUGAUGAAGGUCGUCGGAUCGGAAAACUCUGUUAUUAGGGAAGAACAAAUGUGUAAGUAACUAUGCACGUCUUGACGGUACCUAAUCAGAAAGCCACGGCUAACUA